rnacentral:tRNA from 1 species
UCUCGCGUAGCUCAGUGGCAGAGCAGCGUCUUGAUAAGGCGCAGGCCGGUGGAUCGUUCCCAUCCGCGAGGA